rnacentral:rRNA from 1 species
CCUACGGGAGGCAGCAGUAGGGAAUCUUUCACAAUGGGCGAAAGCCUGAUGGAGCAACGCCGCGUGCAGGAUGAAGGCCUUCGGGUUGUAAACUGCUUUUAUAAGCGAGAAAUAUGAUGGUAACUUAUGAAUAAGGAUCGGCUAACUACGUGCCAGCAGCCGCGGUCAUACGUAGGAUCCGAGCAUUAUCCGGAGUGACUGGGUGUAAAGAGUUGCGUAGGCGGGCUUUUAAGUCAGCGGUAAAAAUUCGGGGCUCAACCCCGUCCGGCCGUUGAAACUGGGGGCCUUGAGUGGGCGAGAAGAAGGCGGAAUGCGUGGUGUAGCGGUGAAAUGCAUAGAUAUCACGCAGAACCCCGAUUGCGAAGGCAGCCUUCCGGCGCCCUACUGACGCUGAGGCACGAAAGUGCGGGGAUCGAACAGGAUUAGAUACCCGGGUAGUC